rnacentral:rRNA from 1 species
UACGGAGGGGGCUAGCGUUGUUCGGAAUUACUGGGCGUAAAGCGUACGUAGGCGGUUUUGUAAGUUAGAGGUGAAAGCCCGGAGCUCAACUUCGGAAUUGCCUUUAAGACUGCAUCACUUGAACGUCGGAGAGGUGAGUGGAAUUCCGAGUGUAGAGGUGAAAUUCGUAGAUAUUCGGAGGAACACCAGUGGCGAAGGCGGCUCACUGGCUCGAUACUGACGCUGAGGUGCGAAAGUGUGGGGAGCAAACAGG